rnacentral:misc_RNA from 1 species
UGGAUCCAAGACCACGCUUAGCUACGGAAUAUUAAAAGCCUUCUUCUUCAUUGGUUCGGUUCAAGCUCCGCUGGAAGUGGAACAACAUCUGAUGUUACACUUUGAAUUGGAUACCCAGAAAUCAACCGUAAAUCAAAGUUGAAUCACAUAACAUAACCGUUGAAUCGCAUACCCAGAAAUCAGAUAGAAUCAAUCAUAACAAAGCCAUUGAAUCGCAUACCCAGAAAUCAAAGUAGUCCAUGUAACCGCAUUUCUCUCAGGCAUCCUAUCAAACACUGUGUAAGCCUCCAAACAUAGACCUGCUUUAUCGUACAUGGUAAAGAGAGAAGUCCCAACAAAAGCAUCAUAAAAACUGGCCAUUGUGAUGCAAGAGCGUGGGCCUGAUGGAUGCCCAAAGUGCUGGACAAGUUCACAACAGCAGUGAAAAGCGAUGGCAAAAGUGUAGGCAUUUGGCAAGGUAUUCUUUAAUUUGCUUUCAUGCGCUAAAACAAUUCCAUGGCAGUGG